rnacentral:rRNA from 1 species
AUUGAACGCUGGCGGCAGGCCUAACACAUGCAAGUCGAGCGGAUGAAGGGAGCUUGCUCCUGGAUUCAGCGGCGGACGGGUGAGUAAUGCCUAGGAAUCUGCCUGGUAGUGGGGGAUAACGUCCGGAAACGGGCGCUAAUACCGCAUACGUCCUGAGGGAGAAAGUGGGGGAUCUUCGGACCUCACGCUAUCAGAUGAGCCUAGGUCGGAUUAGCUAGUUGGUGGGGUAAAGGCCUACCAAGGCGACGAUCCGUAACUGGUCUGAGAGGAUGAUCAGUCACACUGGAACUGAGACACGGUCCAGACUCCUAAGGGAGGAAGCAGUGGGGAAUAUUGGACAAUGGGCGAAAGCCUGAUCCAGCCAUGCCGCGUGUGUGAAGAAGGUCUUCGGAUUGUAAAGCACUUUAAGUUGGGAGGAAGGGCAGUAAGUUAAUACCUUGCUGUUUUGACGGUACCAACAGAAUAAGCACCGGCUAACUUCGUG